rnacentral:rRNA from 1 species
UACGUAGGGUGCAAGCGUUAAUCGGAAUUACUGGGCGUAAAGCGUGCGCAGGCGGUUUUGUAAGUUUGUCGUGAAAUCCCCAGGCUCAACCUGGGAACUGCGUCCGAUACUGGAUGGCUCGAAUCCGGGAGAGGGAUGUGGAAUUCCUGGUGUAGCGGUGAAAUGCGCAGAUAUCAGGAGGAACACCGGUGGCGAAGGCGGGUCUCUGGGCCGAUACUGACGCUGAGGAGCGAAAGCGUGGGGAGCGAACAGG